GGGCCGGUAGCUCAGCUGGGAGAGCGCCUCCCUCGCACGGAGGAGGUCGGCAGUUCGAAUCUGCUCCGGUCCACCA
rnacentral:tRNA from 1 species